rnacentral:rRNA from 1 species
GUGAAGCGGCACCAGCUCAAAUUUGAAAUCUGGCUCCUUUCGGGGUCCGAGUUGUAAUUUGCAGAGGAUGUUUCGGGUGCGGCGCCGGGGUAAGUCCCUUGGAACAGGGCGUCAGAGAGGGUGAGAAUCCCGUUCGUGACCGGUGGCCAACCCCAUGUGAAACGCCUUCGAAGAGUCGAGUUGUUUGGGAAUGCAGCUCAAAACGGGUGGUAAAUUUCAUCUAAGGCUAAAUACCGGCCAGAGACCGAUAGCGCACAAGUAGAGUGAUCGAAAGAUGAAAAGCACUUUGGAAAGAGAGUCAAACAGUACGUGAAAUUGUUGAAAGGGAAGCGCUUGGCGCCAGAUCUGCCGGGAGGUGAUCAGCAGUCGUUCUCGGCUGUCCACUCGCCGACCACCAGGCCAGCAUCGGUUUUGGCGGCUGGAUAAAGACCUUGGGAAUGUAGCUCCCCUCGGGGUGUGAUAUAGCCCUCGGUGCAAUGCAGCCAGCUGGGACCGAGGACCGCGCUUCGGCUAGGAUGCUGGCAUAAUG